rnacentral:rRNA from 1 species
GAUGAACGCUGGCGGCGUGCCUAAUACAUGCAAGUCGAGCGAAUGGAUUAAGAGCUUGCUCUUAUGAAGUUAGCGGCGGACGGGUGAGUAACACGUGGGUAACCUGCCCAUAAGACUGGGAUAACUCCGGGAAACCGGGGCUAAUACCGGAUAACAUUUUGAACCGCAUGGUUCGAAAUUGAAAGGCGGCUUCGGCUGUCACUUAUGGAUGGACCCGCGUCGCAUUAGCUAGUUGGUGAGGUAACGGCUCACCAAGGCAACGAUGCGUAGCCGACCUGGGAGGGUGAUCGGCCACACUGGGACUGAGACACGGCCCAGACUCCUACGGGAGGUAGCAGUAGGGAAGCUUCCGCAAUGGACGAAAGUCUGACGGAGCAACGCCGCGUGAGUGAUGAAGGCUUUCGGGUCGUAAAACUCUGUUGUUAGGGAAGAACAAGUGCUAGUUGAAUAAGCUGGCACCUUGACGGUACCUAACCAGAAAGCCACGGCUAACUACGUGCCAGCCGCCGCAGUAA